CUUGAUUUUUUGUUUUAAAAAAUUAUCACAUACACGGUCCUUUCCAGAUGAAACGUAAUCGUGGUCUCAUGCCGGACUGUUCUGAAACCUGUUUGCAGUCUGGAUUUUUUCGCUUAUUGCACAAUGUAUCCAUAGAAAGAUCUUUUGUAUGCUUAACGUUAAGUUGCAGCCAUAAAGCAAGCAGAUAUAUGACGGUCUUAAACAUGCCCACAAGAGAGUAGAGCAGAGCGAGGGAAGGGCGUGCACAUAUAUUAAAUUGGAUGAAAAAUUAACUGGCGAUGUUUAUGCUUUUAUAUCGCUGCAAAUUUCGGUUUACCCAAUAGACACUAUAUUUGUAUAAUACAUAAGUCUAAUAUCGUCUACAAUGGCAGUGGCUGAUAAAAUGUAAUUGUUGCGACUUGGGCAAACAUAAAUCAUGGGGCAAAUCUUAAA